GAGGUGUUGAAGGCAGUAGCAGGGACCUACAGGGCCACCCCAUUCUUCACCGUCUACAUCAGUGCCGACUCUAAGAGUUCCAACAGCAAUGUUAUCCAGGUGGACCAGUCUGGGCUCUUUCUGCCCUCUCGGGAUUACUACUUAAACAGAACUGCCAAUGAGAAAGUAAGGAACAUCUUCCGAACCCCCAUCCCUACCCCUGGCUGAGCUGGGCUGAUCCCUGUUGACUUUUCCCUUUGCCAAGGGUCAGAGCAGGGAAGGUGAGCCUAUCCUGUCACCUAGUGAACAAACUGCCCCUCCUUUCUUUCUUCUUUUCUUCCUCCCUCCCUCCCUUUCUUCCCCUUUUCCUUCCUUCCUUCCUCUUAUUCUUCUAGUAGGUUUCAUAGACACCUACUGUGUGCCAGGUCCAGUGGGGGAAUUCUGAGAUAUAAGUUUCCGAGCCAUUGCCACAGGAAGCGUUCAGUGUCGAUGGGUUCAUGGACCUAGAUAGCUGAGAACAAAGCUCACAAGAGGGUC
rnacentral:lncRNA from 1 species